rnacentral:rRNA from 1 species
UACGGGGGGGGCAAGCGUUGUUCGGAAUUACUGGGCGUAAAGGGCUCGUAGGCGGCCAACUAAGUCGGAUGUGAAAUCCCCAGGCUUAACCUGGGAACUGCAUCCGAUACUGGAUGGCUUGAAUUCGGGAGAGGGAUGCAGAAUUCCAGGUGUAGCGGUGAAAUGCGUAGAGAUGUGGAGGAACACCGAUGGCGAAGGCAGCCCCCUGGGUCAAGAUUGACGCUCAUGCACGAAAGCGUGGGGAGCAAACAGG